AUGCAUAUGAGUUCAGAAAAGUAUUCCAGUACUGAAGGAGAUGUUGAGACCUUUCAGCUCUUGCUCAAGCGUGAAAAACUUUCCUGCAUCAGCCCAGGAACCUAUAAUCCGACUGCAUGAUUUUCUGAAUGGAGUUGGAGACAUUCGAGCACGGCACAAAAUUCUAUUGUAGAAUCACAAUCACCCUCAGUGCCCACAACAAUGUAGCUGCUAGCAGCGGUGAAGAGUUCUUGGACCAAUUGAAGAAGUUGAGAAGGGAAACUUGAUGUAUAAGCUUGAAGUGCUCUUGAACUCUUGCGUACUUCAUGGCUGGUAGGAGGCAAUUGCCACUCUACAAAGCAUGAAGGUGACGACCUUUCAGGUCAAUACACAAAUGACCCUUGGGGUACGAAAUGUUAACCGAACAUGUGAAAGAUCUGUUUGAAAAUAAGAAUUUCACUUAAUUGAUUACUAUUAGUUGUUAAUUCACUUGGAAAGAAAUAACUUGAUAUUUGUUAUACAACCUAAAUGCAGUUAUACUAUUGGCAACAACUUUCCGUUUUUAUUUAA